CGUGAGGCAUGCUGGAGGUAUCAGAAGUGCGAAUGCUGACAUAAGUAACGAUAAAGCGGGUGAAAAGCCCGCUCGCCGGAAGACCAAGGGUUCCUGUCCAACGUUAAUCGGGGCAGGGUGAGUCGACCCCUAAGGCGAGGCCGAAAGGCGUAGUCGAUGGGAAACGGGUUAAUAUUCCCGUACUUGGUGUUACUGCGAAGGGGGGACGGAGAAGGCUAUGUUGGCCGGGCGACGGUUGUCCCGGUUUAAGCGUGUAGGUGUGUGUUCCAGGUAAAUCCGGUUCACUUUAACACUGAGGCGUGAUGACGAGGCACUACGGUGCUGAAGUAACAAAUGCCCUGCUUCCAGGAAAAGCCUCUAAGCAUCAGGUAACAUCAAAUCGUACCCCAAACCGACACAGGUGGUCAGGUAGAGAAUACCAAGGCGCUUGAGAGAACUCGGGUGAAGGAACUAGGCAAAAUGGUGCCGUAACUUCGGGAGAAGGCACGCUGACACGUAGGUGAAGUGAUUUACUCACGGAGCUGAAGUCAGUCGAAGAUACCAGCUGGCUGCAACUGUUUAUUAAAAACACAGCACUGUGCAAACACGAAAGUGGACGUAUACGGUGUGACGCCUGCCCGGUGCCGGAAGGUUAAUUGAUGGGGUCAGCGCAAGCGAAGCUCCUGAUCGAAGCCCCGGUAAACGGCGGCCGUAACUAUAACGGUCCUAAGGUAGCGAAAUUCCUUGUCGGGUAAGUUCCGACCUGCACGAAUGGCGUAAUGAUGGCCAGGCUGUCUCCACCCGAGACUCAGUGAAAUUGAACUCGCUGUGAAGAUGCAGUGUACCCGCGGCAAGACGGAAAGACCCCGUGAACCUUUACUAUAGCUUGACACUGAACAUUGAGCCUUGAUGUGUAGGAUAGGUGGGAGGCUUUGAAGUGUGGACGCCAGUCUGCAUGGAGCCGACCUUGAAAUACCACCCUUUAAUGUUUGAUGUUCUAACGUGGACCCGUUACCCGGGUUGCGGACAGUGUCUGGUGGGUAGUUUGACUGGGGCGGUCUCCUCCUAAAGAGUAACGGAGGAGCACGAAGGUUGGCUAAUCCUGGUCGGACAUCAGGAGGUUAGUGCAAUGGCAUAAGCCAGCUUGACUGCGAGCGUGACGGCGCGAGCAGGUGCGAAAGCAGGUCAUAGUGAUCCGGUGGUUCUGAAUGGAAGGGCCAUCGCUCAACGGAUAAAAGGUACUCCGGGGAUAACAGGCUGAUACCGCCCAAGAGUUCAUAUCGACGGCGGUGUUUGGCACCUCGAUGUCGGCUCAUCACAUCCUGGGGCUGAAGUAGGUCCCAAGGGUAUGGCUGUUCGCCAUUUAAAGUGGUACGCGAGCUGGGUUUAGAACGUCGUGAGACAGUUCGGUCCCUAUCUGCCGUGGGCGCUGGAGAACUGAGGGGGGCUGCUCCUAGUACGAGAGGACCGGAGUGGACGCAUCACUGGUGUUCGGGUUGUCAUGCCAAUGGCACUGCCCGGUAGCUAAAUGCGGAAGAGAUAAGUGCUGAAAGCAUCUAAGCACGAAACUUGCCCCGAGAUGAGUUCUCCCUGAGACUUUAGGUCUCCUGAAGGAACGUUGAAGACGACGACGUUGAUAGGCCGGGUGUGUAAGCGCAGCGAUGCGUUGAGCUAACCGGUACUAAUGAACCGUGAGGCUUAACCUUACAACGCCG
rnacentral:rRNA from 1 species